CCGAGUUUACAACUCCCAAACCCCAGUGUGAACCUCUACCACAUCGUUGCCUCGGCGGGAUCGCCCCGGCGCGCCUCUCCCUCCAUGGGGGCGGCGCCCGGAUCACUACGGCGCCCGCCGCAGGACCCCCAAACUCUUUUCGCCUCCUUCCAGGCGUCGGUUUUCUUCUGAGUGAGACCUUUUUCCUCGCGACAGCGGGGUGAAAAUGAAUCA
rnacentral:misc_RNA from 1 species